UUAGAAAUGUUAUCUGUAGAUAUGGAGUUGUCAGUUGUGUGGCAAAUUGCCAACCAGCCAAUGGCCUUUCGACUUCACCAAAAGACCAGUAAAUUGGCAAAUCUGAUUUUCUCAACUCCCAACGGUCACAUAUAAAUCUCUCUGUCUCUCUCUGUCUCUCUGACUUUUUUCAUCUUCCUAAAUUAAAACCAUAUUCAUAUCCAUCUCUGCAGCAAUUGAAGAGAGAGAAACGUCCAAUAGAAAUAAUGGGCAUGCAGCUGAUGAGGGCUUCUAGUUUUCAUCCCCAUCUUCUUCAUCCCAAAAGCACUUCUACCCCUCCCGCAAAAGCACUUUUUGGCUUAGAACAAGUCAACAGCAGAAGCGUAGUAAACAUCAAAAGAAGAAAUCAAUAUUAUGGGAUUGUGGCUUCAAGCAAUUUGGCUUCACCACUUUGGGACAGUUGGAGGCCUGAGAAGGGUUCGGCUGCUCCUUCUCUCAGUGAUAUUGUCUGGCCUUCUGCAGGGGCUUUUGCAGCAAUGGCGUUAUUGGGAAGGAUGGAUCAGAUAUUAGCACCAAAGGAAUUUCAAUGACAAUUGCACCAUUAGGAGCUGUUUCCGCAGUCCUCUUUGCCACUCCUGCUGCUCCUGGUGCUCGGAAGUACAAUAUGUUCAUGGCACAAAUAGGUUGUGCAGCCAUUGGGGUGCUUGCAUUUUCCACAUUUGGCCCUGGAUGGCUUGCUAGAAGCUUUGCCCUAGCUGCAUCCGUUGCCUUCAUGAUUUGCACACGCUCCACACAUCCACCUGCUGCAAGCUUGCCUAUACUCUUCAUUGAUGGAGCUAAGUUCCAUAACCUGAGUUUUUGGUAUGCUUUGUUCCCCGGCGCCGCCGGAUGCCUUCUUCUUUGUUUGAUUCAAGAGAUAGUCUUAUACUUGAAGGACAACUUCAAAUUUUGAUCAUCCGGAAGCAAACACAUGCUUUGGUACUCACAUAGUUGGAUACAUCAUACAUUCAUUCAUCUCAAGUUCAAUAUUGGAGGAAAUGCACCAAUACCAUAGAAAUGAGAAAGGAAAGCUUGGGUAUAACUAAAGGUCAGCAAGUUUUGGGUUCGACUAGCGCCGGAUCUGCCAAUGUACACGUGAAAUUAAGUCCAAGGAGCUUGUUGCCCAAGAUUUUGGUUGUAAAAUGUGAUCUAAAAUUGUUCUCGCCUAGAUGUGGUCCUAAUUUUUAAAAGUAGUGCAUUGAUGGUUCUUGGUUCUUGAA